CUAAGGUUCGAUUCGAGCGCAGCGAGAAAGCGUUGCCGCAGGCAACGACCCGAAGGGCGAAGCGCGCAGCGCUGAGUAAUCCUUCCCCCACCACCA
rnacentral:sRNA from 3 species